GUAAAAUACAAUAUAAAUGAGUUACUAAAUAAAAUUUUAAUUAAUUAAUUACUUUUUUGGUUGGCGCCCUCCAGGUGUGGGAUCAGAAUUCCCCAACCAGGGAUGGAACGCACACCCCCGGCAUUAGAAGGUGCAGUCCUAACCACGGAGCCGCCAGGGAAGUCCCACUAAACACUUGUUAAAAGACAUAAAGCUCCAAUCCAAAUAUCUUAACACCAGACCUUUGUAGGCUACCUCCUUUAUGUUCAGCAUGUAUGAAAUGAUUUCGUUUUUUAUAUGCAGCUGCUAUAAAAGUCUGUCUUUCUUUUCGAAGUCUGUAUUUAUCUCUCUGCUUAGCCCUGAGACGUAGGUGGGAUAAACGCUCCAGAGUUUCACGCGCCGGACGCCUGGAUGGCUGCCUCCCCCGAACCCUUGCCCCGCAUCAUCCGGCCAAGCAUCCCCUCUGGAGCAUGCGCCGUCCAUUCCUGCGAUCUGGCCUGCGGAGGUCCCUCCUCUCCGGCCUUUCAAGCAGAGACCUUCAUCUGACCCUGCCCGGCUACUGGGCAAGGCUCCGUUGCCCUGUGACACUGAAGGGCGAGGGAGCCACAGAGGGCUCAAGAGUCCCUGAGCAUCAGGGUUUACCGGAUGCGUGGUGUGAACUAGGCUCCAAAUGAAGAGCCUGGGAGGAGGGCCUCCGUCGCCUCGGUUACCCAGGUGGUUCCCAUCCCAAGCCUCUCCUUCAGCCCCCACAGAAAUGCGGAGUGGGGCUUCUCCUGGGAACGGUGGUCAGGGCUGCAAUGCCCGGACCUGGCUCUGCCACGCUCCAUGCUUCUGCUGAUGCACAGCGCCUGCCAGCGCAUCCUCUCCCUGCGCAUUCAUCAGGACCCACACCCAGGAACACACCCAGCUGCACCUUGUUUGAAAAAGAAAAAAGAGCUGCUGUAUGAAUCCCGCUUAGAAAACAGCUGAACCAGGAUCCAUGUUGGUGGUGGGGCUUUGGAAAGAACACAUUUGUCCGUGGAGGUUCAAAGGCAAAUCUCUGCAGCACCUUUGAACUUUGGCUUAAGAAGUGAAGGAGACUUGAACUCUGCCAUAUCUAUGACCAGAGGGUUCCAUAGGGUUGUAGUCAAAGUGUCAGCUCAACUGAGAAAAGAUCGACUUCCACGUUUAUGCCGUUGUUGGCAGCAUCCAGUUCCUCGCAAGCUGCCAGCCUGAGCCUUAGUUUCUUGUUGGCUGUGACUAGAAGUUACCUUCAGCUCUCUGCUGUGUGCAUGGUACUCUCCAUAUCAAAGCUUAUCGCAUGGCAGAUUGUUUAUUCAAAACCGACAAGGAAGAGAAAGUUUCCUACCAAGAUGAGUUAAAUGCCUUGUAAAAUGAGAUCACAUUCAGGAAAUGAAAUAUUUAAUACAUUCCUUCACCUUUGCCAUGCUCUUAGUUGGAAGCUAUUCACAGUCCUAUGCACCAAGGGAGAGGCUCACACAAGGGUGCAGAACAGGAGGCAAGGAUCAUGGGACCACUCUAGACACUGUCCACCAACUGAGUGGUGCUCCAGCCUUCUCUUCUCUUUCCCUGGCAACCUGACCCUACAAGAUGGCUCAUAAAAUGGAAGAAACAAAGGUGGAUGCAUAUUAGAUCUUCAGUUACCACUUGGAAUAAAGUUGUCCUGAAGGGUGACCUCAUCCACAGUGGAUUUUGACUAAGCAAGAAAUUUGAGAACUUUUAUAGUCUGACUUUAGAAAGAGAAGAAAACCUUAACCUGAUCCAUGAAGGAAAAAGGAAAGAAGAAUGACAUGGGCUAUUAAG
ensembl:lncRNA